CCUGCCUCAGCUGCGACUAACAGGUCAAAACAGUCACAAGCCUGCUCAAAUUCGGAAAGAGGGGACGGAAAUGGAACCUCUUCAUGGGAGGAAGAAUUGGAAAAAUGAAUGUAAUUUGACAUAUGUCUUGAGUCUGGUUGGCUUCUGAGGAACUUGUGUGCAUCUCAUCAGUAUGCAUCUUAAGAACUGAAAUGACCCUACUUCAGCAUUGUGAGAAGACAUGCAUUCUCUUCGUAUAAAUAAUGUGGAUCUUACAUGUAAAGUAUUAUAAAGAUUAGCUGUUUAACAACUUAAAUAAGCUUGUGAAUAAUAAAUUAAUAACAAUGUUAUGCUAAUACGUAACUAUGAUAUUUGCUGAACAAAAUAAAUUUGCCUACUUUGGAAGCAGAUUGGGUGGUUUAAUAUAUCAGCAAAAGAGUGUUUUUAAAAAAUAUCAAAGUUCUGUUAAUCAAAACGUUUAUUGUAGGACAGUUAGUAAUGUUUUGUUUGCCAACUUAUAUUACAAAGUCUCUGUCUUAAGUGUUUCCUUGCAAAUAAAAUGACAAUACUGCCUUACAUUUUAUUACUUUAGAGUUUGCAAAAUAUCUUCAUUAUAAUAUUUCAUUUAGUAGACAUGCCUAUGGGAACAUUACUUCCAGAAUUAAAAACAUUAUUUUUGUUUUGGUAUAUUUUUAAACUACAAAUGAUAGAAAGGCAAGUAAAUGUAAGUUUUUCUCUAGUUAUUUGUUCAAAUGCUAAUUUAAAACAUUUGUACAUUUCUAAUACAAACAUUCCUUAUUUGAGAAAAAAUGGAUUUCUUAAAAACAAAAUGCAUUUUAAAGCAGAGAGACAGGGCAUUGAGCUGAAAAUGGUGGCUGGAAGUUGGGAUCUGUAAGAGAAGUUGAAUGUGCCCCGAGGCAUAAAGCUGCUAAUUUUGUUUUAUUGGAUUUUACUGUAGCUAUUAAUAUAUUUUGCUGGAGAUUUAUGUGAUCAAUUUAUCUUAUGGCCAGAACUAAUUCCCUUAGUAUAUUUUAUUAGAAUAUGUGACUUUUUCUAAAUUUAGCUUUAUUUUUCAUAUUUUCCAUAAAUGGCAAAGAUUCUAUGUUUCCAGACAUGUUAAGUAUUGCAAGAAUUAUUGGAGCACCUAAAGAUAAAUAAUAUCAAAA
rnacentral:lncRNA from 1 species